UCUGGAAGGCCUGGCGGAUGGCGCUGUCCAGCUGCCCCGAGGCCUGGAACUUCUGCAUGUACUCCAGGAACUUGAGGGAUGUGCCCAUAGCCAAGGCCAUCUUCUUCAUCUGAGAGGAGAAGUCCUCGUCCAUCCUGGCCCUGCGGUGGACAGGAGCCAGCUCGGAUCCCUCCCUCCCUCCCGCCUCACUGCCUUCCACAGCCAAAGCAGGACUGAGCUCUAAAACCUGGCUAAGACCCCCCAGAAGCCCACCUGUCCCGGGCAUUGCUGUGCCCUGAAUGCCCUCCCAAGGCUGGCAGGGACGUCGCCCCACCCCAGACCACUGUGGACCGCCUGCAUAGCCCUCCUGGGGGCUGUGUUCUUCUUCUAGCAUCUGCCGCUUCAUAUGAGGCCGGCGAGCUGAGGACCUUCCAGAAACUUCCAAUGGCCACCUGCUGCUGGACCCCAAACAGAUUCCAGCAUUUUGCUCAUAGAGAUGCUAUUUCAAUGUGCAUCUCUGUCCAGGGGAGUGUCUCCUGCUCCUUGGCCGUGUUCACAAGAGUGGGAUGAUUGGGACCAACGGUGGAGGGUUCCACAUUCUUCCCCCGACGCUUUCCAACACACCCGUGCGCUCGGUGCUCCAGUGUGGGAUGCACGCCUGCGCGUCCGUACGUACACCGAGGUCCCCAGCAGGCACACUGACUGCCACCCAACAUACGUGUCCCUACAGCGGAAGGCCACUCUGCACAAAAGGAAUGAACCGCACGCCAUGAUGCAGAUGGAUCUCGACACCUUACAUCCAGGGAAAGAAGCCAGUCACAGAGGGCCACAUAGCGCCUGGUUCCAUUUGUAUAAAAUCCCCAGAAUUUGCAAAUCCAUACAGACAGAAAGCGGGUCGGUGGUUGCCGAGGGCUGGAGGGGAAGGGAGUGAGGAAUUCAUGUUUAACAGCUUUGGGGUUUGGGAGUGGGGAUAAUGUUCUAGAACUGAAUAGAGGUGAUGGUUGCACAUACUGAGUGUGCUAAAUGCCACUGAAUUGUUC